rnacentral:lncRNA from 1 species
AAGGCCUCUGGCACGCUGCAAGAGUAAAAGGUGGCAGGGCACUACCUGCCCACUCCCAAAUGCUACAUGCUUCCCCUCUACCACAUGCAAAUCUUUGCACUUAAUCAUGUCAUUGCCAAGUCCCGCUUCUGGUACUUUGUAUCUCAGCUAAAGAAGAUGAAGAAGUCUUUGGGGGAAAUUGUCUUGUGUGGGUAGGUAUUUGAGCAAUUCUGCCUGCAGGUGAAGAACUUCAGCUUGUGGCUGCACCACAACUCAUGCAGUGGCACCCACAACAUGUACCAGGAAUACCUGGACUCAGCCACUGGGGGUGCUGUCACCCAGUACUACAGAGAAAUGGGUGCCCAGCAAUGUGGUUGGGCCCACUGGAUCCAGAUUGUGAAGGUAGAAGGGAUCUUGGCCAGCAGGUGCCAGCAAUCAAACAGUUCCACAACUCCAAGAUCAAGUUUGUGCUGUCCCACCGCAUCCUGCAUUGUCAACACAAGCCACACUUCACCACCAAGAUGCCCAGCCCAACACCUUCUUUUAG